CACAGAUUUAAAGAGGCACAGGCUGUGUCUCCCAGGUCUGGGGAAGGAUGUUUCUGCUCUGACAUGCAAGAUCCAGCAGUGACUCAUCUGCUCUGGAAUCUUCUCUGGGCCAGCAUCCUGCAUUGUUAUCCCUGAAAGCAGCAUCCUCUCUUCAGAAAACAGAGUCAAUGCUGGUGUUGAGGAAAGGUGGCUGAACUGAGGAUAGAUUAAACAGGAAGCCAAGUUCCAGGCACUGUCCAGCCAGGAGCAGCCACUCACACAGAAAGCAACAACAAAAGGAAUUACUGCACAUCAAACGACCUACUUCGUGCUGUGCUGCUGAGGAGCACCUGGAUACAACCACCACACCAAAAUCUGCCAGCCUCCCUCAAAGGCAUCUCUACUUAUGGGAGACCCAGACUACUGCGUGGAAAUUCUCCUCCAUAUGUGCUUUUACAUGGCCUCUUCGCUAAGUACAUUUUAGUACUUUGCAUUCAUGUGCUGGGCUAACAUCACAUAAAAUUUUCAUAUAAGCAUUGUUGUUCCUCUUCUACUCUUAGGAAGGAGAAUGUAACAUUUGGAGAGCAUUUAUAGUUAAAUGAAUGAUGUUUCUGUGUCAGACACAUCAGGUCAAAAACUAUCUUCCAUUUGGAGGAAUGAGAAAUAACUUAAGAAGAUCCUUAACUGCUGCAAGAGUUGUGUCCUCAGUCUGUGAACUACUCCCCAAAAAUGCACCUACACUGGCAGUUAUGACUGAGACAAAGGAUCCCAUGUUCUCAGCCACCUCCCUGCAUCUGCAUCUUGCUUGUCAGCACCAGCUUCCACAUCAUUCUCCUCAAACCUCCAUCCAGCUCUGUCUACAAGCUGUCUUUCUCCAUUAAGUCAGAUCUCUAGUCGUGGACACCAAAGACAGGAGGAAAAAUGCCGUGUGGGAUUGCUACUCACCACAACCCAUACUUAGGUCGUGCAAGCUGCAGCAACCUGAUGAACUAAGUAUAUCAUGUAACUUCAGAAAAGCUUCUGGGCUCAGACUGAAUGGCUGCUGAGACUUGUACUUAUGGGAAUUUUUUCAUAGGCAUCUACAAAGUUGGAGACUGAAAGUGAUCCUGAAGUUUCCUGUAAUUACCAGGCAUUUUCUUAGCCUUCUUGCACACCUGUUCUCCAGCUGGGGCUAACAGAAAUCCUAAACUCUCUCAAGCUGAAGGGCUUUGUUUACCCUUGUGGUCAAAAGCUCCCCAGUGCCUCAGGAAUAGCACUGUUAACUCCAGCCAACACCCCAGAGAACACCACUUAUAGUUCCCAGGCCAGGCCACAGAGCAGCAGGGAACUAAUAACUCAGACCUGGAGUUUGAGCACGGGAAGCCAGCGCAGAGAGCAGGAACGAGUUUGACAUGAACAUGGAUGUUUGUUAAGGACACACACUGCAGUGCUCUGUAACAGCUGUGUUUCCUGAGGACUUGGGGCAUUGUGCCAAGUACACAGUACCCCUGUAGAUCUGAGAGCAGCCUGUGUUUCAGAAAGCUUUCCUCCACCUCCAGAUCUCUUUACCAGCCAAAUGGGAAAUGGGUGUCUCUGGGCAUCUUUCCAGAAGCCUCUGAACCGAUGCCUUCAUGCAGCAAAACUCAACAGGUACAUUCAUGUACUUUUUCACCUUAGUAUUCACACUACAUGAAAUAUUUGCCUCACUUGCUGCUCAUUUGGAUGCCCACUGGCCUUCUGUCUAUUUACCAAAGCAGGAAGUACCUAAGUAGGAACAAAACUAAGUCUGACACAGCAAUAGUGUCUGGCAGAUAUCAACAUUAUCUGCCUCGAGCUUUUUAACAAUCAUUAAUGUUAACAAAAGUGUUAAGCUCUAUGGGUAGGUGUCCCUUCUGAAGUUACGCCACUGAGCUGAAAUUUAACCCGUCUUCACAUUUCCAAAAGUCAAUCAGGCUGUCAUUGAAACAAUGGAAUAAAAUCACCAGACCUUGCUCUAUUCCUGUUUCUAUUUAAAGGUGAUAAAGAGUUGAUUUUACAUAAGAUCUCAUCAGCGUUCCUUAGUCAGCAUGAUUGUUCUGGACUUCCUGGCAUUCUGACAAACUGAGCAAGUAAGGUUGUUUAGGAGCUUAGAGCUGGGAUGGAUGGAAAGGGAAAGGAGACAGUAUGCUGCCACCUUUUGGUUACAGAAAUGAGAACAGGUAUGAUCUGGGCAGAUCUCUCAAGUGGAAAUUAAGACAUCUAUGCUUAUCUUCUGUAAUAAAACAACCUGAAAGCCCAGAUACUGCAAGAUGCAUCCCUUCAUGUUCUAAACUGUUGCCAUAAGCUUAGCUCCCGUAUUUUACAUUUUUUUCAGUCUUGCUUGAAUGAAUUAAUAAUUAUCAAGCCAUAAUUAAUAAUUUAUCUAAUUUAAAACACAAAGGCUUGAGUUCUCUCACCUAAAACUAAUGCUUUGCAUCACUAAACUGAUUUGAGGAACAUACAAGAUCUCAUGAAUUAGUAGCUUGUAAAAGUAAGUGACUGUAUGUCAUGACUCCUGACACUUUCAUUACUAGGUUUGCUAUCAGUACUUUACAAAUUCAGCUUUAACUGCUUGAAUGAGAUUUUCUGUGCUGGCUGACUGCUGAGGAGCUGAAGGGUAUUUUGUUUGCUUGUUUAUUAAAAGAUUGGUUCAGCUGUUUAUGAGAAUAAAAGAUUGAAGAAUUGCCAUCUUAA